rnacentral:rRNA from 1 species
UGGGGAAUAUUGGACAAUGGAGGAAACUCUGAUCCAGCAAUUCUGUGUGUGUGAAGAAGGUUUUAGGACUGUAAAACACUUUUAGUAGGGAAGAAAAAAAUGACGGUACCUACAGAAGAAGCAACGGCUAAAUACGUGCCAGCAGCCGCGGUAAUACGUAUGUUGCGAGCGUUAUCCGGAAUUAUUGGGCUUAAAGGGCAUCUAGGCGGUAAGACAAGUUGAAGGUGAAAACCUGUGGCACAACCAUAGGCUUGCCUACAAAACUGUUGAACUAGAGUACUGGAAAGGUGGGUGGAACUACACGAGUAGAGGUGAAAUUCGUAGAUAUGUGUAGGAAUGCCGAUGAUGAAGAUAACUCACUGGACAGAAACUGACGCUGAAGUGCGAAAGCUAGGGGAGCAAACAGG